AAAUUGUCUGUUUGAUACAAAAUCUGUCUAGAUUCCACAAUUGUCCUUAAUAUGCAGGUGACAUUAGGAAAAUAUACCUGCUUCUUGGUUUGGGGUCAUAUUUAUAUUUCCCAUAUAUUUCGUUUCUAGGGAGUCCAAGUACUCCAAGCAGUAUCAUCAGACUGAAUCCAUGAGUCUGUGGAUUUUUAAGAGACUCCUUUGAACAUUUAGGUGAUCCUUAUCUAGCAGCCUCAUCUUUGAAUUGUUUCCUUCUUUCAGGAGUCUAAACCAUUGGGUAGCCAGGAGUCUGAAGAACUUCUGAUUCUGGAUGGAAGGAGUAUCUAUCAGAGAGAAGAAAAAAGAAAUGAGAACAGAUUUUGCCUCUGAUGUGGGAAUUAUAUACAAGCCUGACCCAGCCUUCACAUAUACCAGGAGGAUAUAUCUCUCCAAGAAAGGUUUCAGAAGUAACUGGGAAGAUCAUUACUAACUGAUACAAAGCCAAGAAGUGAGCAGAAUUGGGAAAACAAAUGUCAACAAUCUUUGAAAGACUUUAGAAUCAAAGAAGUCACAAACCAAGAUUUCAGAGGACUAAAGACCUAUCAAUCUUCUGGCAAGGAGGUGAUGGAAUUAAAAUACAGAAUGAGAUGUACAUUGUUGGACAUGUGUUAUUUAUUUAUUAUGGCAUAUUUAUUAUGGUUUUAUCUCUUUUUUUCAAUCAAUGGGGGCAUAUAAAAGGGAGGGAAAUUAAUAUUUAUUCAUUAGAAGAAAAGACAAAUUAAAUUUUUUAAAUGUGGUGUCCAGACCUGAACAUAGCACUAUAGAUAUGACCUGAAUAGGACUAUUAUGUCCCAUAUUCUAAAUAAUGUAUUUCUGAAUGUACCUAACAUAUGUCACAUUUUUAAAUUCAUAUUGAUCUUGCAGUUCAUCAAGAAUACCAGAAAUUGUUGUCUAGCUAUUUCUCCUUCACAUUGUACUUGUGAAAUUGAAGUGUAAGGUGUGUUCAGGGAAGACUGGUACUUUUGGCAUGAAGGCUGCUGAGCCCUUUUCAGGAUUUCUUUCCACUUUUGGUGUCUGAGUCACUUAAUUCUUACCUGUGACUCUAAGAAGCUGUAGCAUUCAUAGUGGCCACACCCUUUUUUUGGCAGACAGGUUGAAAAUAACUAAAAGGUCUCAAACCCUUCAAUGAUUUGGGUCUAUCCCAAGCAUAUGAAGACUUUUCCUGGUGAAAUAGACAGAUGAGAACAAUUUGUUCCAAUAGCCAUGAGGGCAGCUGAAGCAGAUGCUUUGGAACAUGUAGAGCUUGGUUACACACUGAAGACAAUAAGGUCAUCCACUGCAUCUUGAGCCAACAUAAGUCAUCUUGACUCUGUCCUGCCUCUGGAUGAU